rnacentral:rRNA from 1 species
GGGGAAUUUUUCGCAAUGGGGGCAACCCUGACGAAGCAACGCCGCGUGGAUGAUGAAGUAUCUCGGUACGUAAAAUCCUUUCGACAGGGAAGAAACCGCAAGGUUGACGGUACCUGUAGAAGAAGCCCCGGCUAACUCCGUGCCAGCAGCCGCGGUAAUACGGGGGGGGCAAGCGUUGUUCGGAAUUACUGGGCGUAAAGGGCGCGUAGGCGGUCCGCUAAGUUGGAUGUGAAAACUCUGGGCUUAACCCAGAGCCUGCAUUCAAAACUGACGGGCUAGAGUUCUGGAGGGGAUAGCGGAAUUCCUGGUGUAGCGGUGAAAUGCGUAGAUAUCAGGAGGAACACCGGUGGCGAAGGCGGCUAUCUGGACAGAAACUGACGCUGAGGCGCGAAAGCUAGGGGAGCAAAC